UUAACUUAAACAUUUCUCUUUUACAAUUUGUCUCUUCAGAAAAUUCCAUUUCUUUACUCAUUCUGAACUAAUGAUUGUGAUGAAUUAAUUGAUUUAAUCUGCUUCUAGGCUCAUUUCUGCUUCGCAGUAAGGGUCUUUGCAGAUUUGACUGACCACCCAGCAUACCUUCUUGGAACCACGUAUCAAUUAAAACAUCUACUCCUCUGACAUCCAUAACUCCCUUUGUUUAUUCUACCUCUGAAAUAUUCAGUAGGCUAUAGCAGUUUAUUCAUGGGUCUGCAGUAUUUCUCAGGUAUAUCUCUGUGAUACAGGGUUACCUUCCACCAAUAGGGGGUGUCUGCAUCCAGUUAAUGGGUUUGUCGCGAUCGCUGUCUUAUGUGACCUCAUCUCAUUCUUAUCAGACUAUCACCCUCCACGGGUUCCUGAUGAAGCCGUAACGGCGAAACUAGUAGAACCUCUCUACGUGGGGUCCGAAGAAGACUAUGUGCAGUUAUUUGCACCACUAGUACUUUUUCUAUU